UUUGUUUUUCAGGUUUAAACCUCCAGACGGGUUGAAGAAAUCGCCCGACAGGAACCACUCGGCAAAUUUUGUUUCCUCCCUUGAAAUCCCACUGGAUGUGGAGCAGAUCAUUCACUUGAAGACGCCGAAGGACAGUUUGUGGAAGGUUUAAAGAAGUGAAAGCAGGAGAUCCUGGGGAGAAGGCAAGGGUGGAAGAGAUAUGGGAUCAUAAAAUUUGGCAGAGCAAGUGAUUGAGGAGGUUGUCUUUGUUAGUUUGUCAGCAUCACAGUUACAAGUAAAAUAUGCUUGUAAAAUACAAAUUCAAGUAAUUUCAAAUGAAAAAUUAAAAAUUGCUUUCCCAUUUUUUUUCCUUAGGAGUCUUUCACUUGUUUGUCAUUAUUUUGUCACUCUCUUGUCUAGGAAUCAAAAAUACAAAGACUGAGUAAUACUGCUUAUUCUCAUAAAUUACUAUAAAAAUCUGUACAGCACACUCAGUUUAGAGGGAGUUCCUCUUCUUCCCCUUUAAAUGAGUCCCUGCCAGCAGCAAGUGUGUUGAUAUACUGAUCUGAAGGACUCAGGCAUGAUGCCAACUAAAGCAAUUUAAAUGACAUGGUUAAUAGUGUCUCUACUGUCCUUAUCACACAGUAGCUGUCUUUAAUAAACUCAGUGACUUCCAUAUGAUAAUCAUGGAUGACAAACUAACUGUAGUCCUAGCUCUCAUGUUCAGAUGAACUCCCUUUUGCUCUGAUUGAUAAAUAUGAAAUGCGAAUUACAGACAGACUGUAGAAAUUUGCAAAAUAUACUUCCCUCCUCUAAGUUUGUGAUCUCUUUCAGACAAAUAAGACCCAAAUAGAUUAUCUGAAAAAAAAUUCUAAAGUUAGUGUUCCCAUGGAUUGCAUUGCUAUCAGUGUAAUUUUUAAAAGUUUUUCUAUAGUAAUAAUUGUAUGCGGGACACUGCAUCCUUCAAGUGAAUCCUUAUCAAACACUUCAGAAGAGGAAAUAAUUUUACAUAAAUUAGGUAAGCCAGUGUAAUAUGUCUAACAAAUCAAAACACUCUGUAACUCUUGUAAAGCGUUUUGGAUGGAAGUGAAGAUUGAUCCAUCAAUUUCAAUUUGACAUGAGUAACCUUUAAAAAACAGCAAAUACAAUUUCAGAAGUAUGCACACUGGUAAACAGCUGUUUCACAGUGGGAGUUUUAAAUUUCUUUGAGUACCUCUGGUACUCAUACUGACUUUUUCCUUUGUCAAAUUUAAGGAUUACAACAUACUAUAUAACCACAGAAGAAUAGAGUAGUACAGUUGACAGGUUAACUGCAAAUUGCAUGUAUGAUUGCUUAGUUGUUUUUCUUUUUUUUUUUAAAGGUUUGAUCCUAAAAUAUCAUUGCUAGAUCUUAUCUUCCUGAUUUUCAAACCUGCUAAAUUUUGCCAAAAGCUGUAGAAAUGCUCAUGUUCUCAGCAGCUGUGAAGAGCUUACUAAAGCACCUAAGAAUAAUGUGUUUCAUGUCUUGUGACUGUGGUUGAAAUACAGUGCUGUGUGCUUAACUGAUAAGUUUGGAAAUGCUCUUCUUAAUGGUCAAGAUUGUGUUUUUGAAAAUGAAUACAUGAAUGCAGAUUGUCGUCACAGUUUUUAUUUCUUGCGGCUUUGUUUGCAAAAUUCAUUCCUUUGAGACUAGUGAAAAAUAACAAGAUUCUAGCUGUAUCUUAAAAGUAACAGUAGAUAAAUAAUAGUACUUUCCUAAAAGCCUUGUACAAAUGAAGAAGUCUGAUUUUUUUUUUUUACUUUGUGUCACCAAUCAUAUUAUAGUCAUAAUGAAAGUUAAACAAUAUAAGUGUUAGAUUUUGUCAAAGUGAAAGACCCAACCUGAGAUAGUACCAAAAUGCUCCCAUGAAAUGCCUAUGGCCCAAAAAAUGGGGCCAAGAAGAGAAUGUGACCUUUAUGUAUAUAUUCGCUAUAUAAUAGAUAUGUUAACUUCAGUCACUCCUUGGCACUAUGGAUCUGCCCUAUUAAUUAAAACUAAAUAUUUGCUCAUUCCAGCUAACAUUUGGAAAGCUAUUUGAUGAUGUGAAGGCACGGUAUUUCUAGAAAUGCUUUUUAAUAGGUAGUGGGUCGCUCUUUUUUGGAUGCUCUGACAUUAUGAUAGUAGCUUUGCGAUACUCAGAAUGUGAAUUUAAAAGUGAUUUCAUUGUUAAGCAUUAUAAUUUAUGACUUUUUUUUCCUGCAGCCUUCCUCAAACCUGAUAGCUUUUUCAGUUCCACAGUUGGCCUCAUGUUGCACUUUUCUCUUUGCUUUGAAGGCUGGGCAGAAGUCUUGUCAGGGUUUGCAGUUGUACUACUCCGUAUAGGGCUGCGUGCCUGUGCUUAAAACCAUACGGGUGUUAUUCUUCCAGAAUUGUUGCCACCAUGGUUCCACUUUCUUAUUAAACCCAAUGCUAAGAAUCACUUCAUUAACAAUGUAUCACAUUAAAAACCACAUGCUAAGUAUCAUAUACUUGAAAAAUUAUAUUGUGAAAGAUAAGGCCUCAGAGACUUGGGGUUUUCUGGGUGGGUUUUUUUUUUUUUUUUGGUUUUUUUUUGGGGAGGGAGUUGUUUUUGUUUGGUUUGGGUUUUGGUUGGGAUUAUUUGAUUCUUCUUUUUUGGUUGUUUUUUGUUUGUUUGUUUGGGGUUUUUUGGUGAAAACUUGGCACAUUAAAUGCACAGAAAAAGUGUUCUGGUUCAGAAAGGUUUACAAAUGUAGUAUGUCAGAACCAUUCCUCUCUAAAAUAUCUUUCUCAUUUAUUCUCCCUUGUUUGCCACAUUGAUCACUUAAGACCUGAAGUUGCUAACGUGCAUAAUAAGCACCAUCUUAUGACCGAUGAAUGCCACUGAAGUAAUUGGAAUAAUUUUUAGUAAAGCAGUGCCCUGUGUUUGCAGAAUGGACUAGCCCUUGUCUUUUAAGCUCUGCAGGGCAGGGAAUUGUCUUUGAAGUAUUUUCUGUAAAAUGCCUGGCAUGUCUGUGUGUGCCAAAAAAUGAUAAGUAAUAAUAAACGGUAGUUGACAAUUUAUGCAGACUUCUCUUUUUGUUUUUUAAUUAUUAUUAUAAUUUCGGAAUUUGCCUAUAGGG